AGAGUUUGAUUAUGGCUCAGGACGAACGCUGGCGGCGUGCCUAAUACAUGCAAGUAGAACGCUGAAGAGAGGAGCUUGCUCUUCUUGGAUGAGUUGCGAACGGGUGAGUAACGCGUAGGUAACCUGCCUUGUAGCGGGGGAUAACUAUUGGAAACGAUAGCUAAUACCGCAUAACAAUGGAUGACUCAUGUCAUUUAUUUGAAAGGGGCAAAUGCUCCACUACAAGAUGGACCUGCGUUGUAUUAGCUAGUAGGUGAGGUAACGGCUCACCUAGGCGACGAUACAUAGCCGACCUGAGAGGGUGAUCGGCCACACUGGGACUGAGACACGGCCCAGACUCCUACGGGAGGCAGCAGUAGGGAAUCUUCGGCAAUGGGGGCAACCCUGACCGAGCAACGCCGCGUGAGUGAAGAAGGUUUUCGGAUCGUAAAGCUCUGUUGUAAGAGAAGAACGAGUGUGAGAGUGGAAAGUUCACACUGUGACGGUAACUUACCAGAAAGGGACGGCUAACUACGUGCCAGCAGCCGCGGUAAUACGUAGGUCCCGAGCGUUAUCCGGAUUUAUUGGGCGUAAAGCGAGCGCAGGCGGUUAGAUAAGUCUGAAGUUAAAGGCUGUGGCUUAACCAUAGUUCGCUUUGGAAACUGUCAAACUUGAGUGCAGAAGGGGAGAGUGGAAUUCCAUGUGUAGCGGUG
rnacentral:rRNA from 1 species